rnacentral:lncRNA from 1 species
CGCCACCCGUCUGGGGCCCGAAAGGAGGGAGCUUUCCCUCUGUCCCCCAGCCUUUGGACUGUCACCAAACAAGCCAUUCGUUCACCAAAUACUUUUUAAGCGCCUACCAUGUGCCUGACAAGGGAUAUGUAACGGUGAGAAAAACUAGGUGUGGUCCAGGCCCUUCAGGGACUCAGGGGCUCGUGGAAGAAGUGGAUAUUGAAGUACUUAUCACACAAAGGAGGAUAAAAGUACGAUAGCGAUAUCUACCACGAAGCUGUUGUUCCACACCAGAACCAAAUGAGCGCAAGAUCUGACAAAAAAAAAAGGUUCAUCUUUUAUUCUUCCAAACACUUUCAUUUAAAUCAAGAGGAUGGGAUGUGGUUAUUACUGUGUUUUUAGACAAAAUCAAUGGUUUCUGGCUCUGAGAUGUUGCAUACACCCUCUCAGUCCCUGUAUCCUGAGAUGGAGUCACCUGAGAAUCCACAGCAAGUCCUAACCAGGGAUGGGUCUGGGUGAUUAAGGAAGAUUGGCUUCAGAACUGGGCCAGGGGCACUGCUUUGCUUUUGCUGUUUUGAUCAGCUCUCUGCCUGCAGGAGACGAGGAAAACCAAUGGGAACAGGGUCUCUCUCUCUGCCACUCAGGCCAGAGUGCAGUUGACGCAGAGCAGGGGAGCCCUGAAAUGGAGCAUAGUGUGUCCGGAACUGGUGGGUUCUUGGUCUCACUGACUUCAAGAAUGAAGCUGCGGACCCUCGGGAUGAGUGUCACAGUUCUUAAA